UGGGGAAUAUUGCACAAUGGGCGCAAGCCUGAUGCAGCCAUGCCGCGUGUGUGAAGAAGGCCUUCGGGUUGUAAAGCACUUUCAGCGGGGAGGAAGGCGAUAAGGUUAAUAACCUUGUCGAUUGACGUUACCCGCAGAAGAAGCACCGGCUAACUCCGUGCCAGCAGCCGCGGUAAUACGGAGGGUGCAAGCGUUAAUCGGAAUUACUGGGCGUAAAGCGCACGCAGGCGGUCUGUCAAGUCGGAUGUGAAAUCCCCGGGCUUAACCUGGGAACUGCAUUCGAAACUGGCAGGCUAGAGUCUUGUAGAGGGGGGUAGAAUUCCAGGUGUAGCGGUGAAAUGCGUAGAGAACUUGGGGAAUACCGGUGGCGAAGGCGGCCCCCUGGACAAAGACUGACGCUCAGGUGCGAAAGCGUGGGGAGCAAACAGG
rnacentral:rRNA from 1 species